ensembl:lncRNA
GAGGGGAAUCAUGAGUGUGAGGCCAGCCUGAGUCAAUCCUGAGACCAUCUGAAAAAGAAAAAAAAAUCUUCCAGGACUCAGAUGAACUAGGACGAUGUUGUCACCAGCAGACCUGCACCAUGAGACAGAAUUGCUGAGAAAAUAUCCUGAGAGAGGAAGGGUAAUGAGAGCGGCCCAAGAGCAGAGAGAGGCUGUGGGUUUGUGGGAGAAAGACAGAACACCAUACAUCAUUGUGACUGGAUAAUGGUCCCGUCUAACUGAGGGUCAUAGGUGAACCCCUGAAGGGGGUUGGGACCCACAGAUUGAGAACCAGUGCACUAUGACCUUCAGAACAGGAGAUGGCCUGUGGAGGGAACUUCAAAGACAACAUUUCAGGAAUCAUUUCUCGAGUCUGAAGGGACUCUCCACCUCCCGCUCUUUAGUAGCUGGAUAGGUCAGAUUGACAGGACCCAUAGGAGAUCAAAAUCAGGAGGAGGUGGGGGCUUAGAAACGACGACGGCAAAGAUUUAAAAGGCACAAGGAGCUGAUGAAGAGGCAUGAGGCAGAGCACCUUAGAGAAAGUUCAGGCAGGAUGCCCUUCUGGCCUCGUGGAGGCCAGCCAGAGUGUGUCUCAAGAGUCUUCCAUGAGAAGAUUCUAAAGGCACACGUUCUAAACCUACACGGCCCACAUCCUAACAGCCAUGUGAAGACCUUCCUCUUGCAGAGAGGAUUUUCAUUAAAGGUUCCUUAACC